CCUACGGGUGGCAGCAGUGAGGAAUAUUGGUCAAUGGACGAGAGUCUGAACCAGCCAAGUAGCGUGAAGGAUGACUGCCCUAUGGGUUGUAAACUUCUUUUAUAUGGGAAUAAAAUGUUCCACGUGUGGGAUUUUGUAUGUACCAUAUGAAUAAGGAUCGGCUAACUCCGUGCCAGCAGCCGCGGUAAUACGGAGGAUCCGAGCGUUAUCCGGAUUUAUUGGGUUUAAAGGGAGCGUAGGUGGAUUGUUAAGUCAGUUGUGAAAGUUUGCGGCUCAACCGUAAAAUUGCAGUUGAAACUGGCAGUCUGGAGUACAGUAGAGGUGGGCGGAAUGCGUGGUGUAGCGGUGAAAUGCUUAGAGAUCACGAAGAACUCCGAUGGCGAAGGCAGCUCACUGGACUGCGACUGACACUGAGGCUCGAAAGUGUGGGUAUCAAACAGGAUUAGAUACCCUAGUAGUC
rnacentral:rRNA from 1 species